GAAAUAUGAUAUAUGAAAUAUGAUAUAUGAAAUAUACUAUGAAAUAUAUGGAAAAGAAACAGAAAAUAAUAAGUUACCAACAAUGCCCAGUUACAACGAACGUCAAACCGGAAAAGCGAUACUUCUCCUCUUAAAAGUGCUUAUCUAACGUGUUUUUCAAUCUCUUCCUCGACAAAAUCCAAUCCACUGCAGAGCAUGGUGAUUAAUGGAACAAGCGAAUGAGAAUGAAAUUAAGAGAAACGAAAGAUACAUGAAGAUGAUGCCGACGCAGAUUCAUGAUGGAAUUCGAUAACUCCACUACCUGGUGCUUGGCCACAGAAGCCUAGUUCUGCUACUUGCCCUUUCUUUGGAGUCGAGCCUGUCAUAGUGGAUGAGAAAGGUGUUGCGAUAGAAGGAGAGUCUAGUGGUUACUUGUGUGUUAAG